CGGUGCCUGUGUGUGCGCGCACGCUGCUGCUUUCCGUCUCUGCCUCUUUGCCUCCGGCGUUACAGAAUAAAUUGCUUGGCAGAGGCCUGAGGGGGAAGAUGAUUUUAAAUUUCUAGCUCUUAUUUCAAUGAGGAACCGUGAAAGACUAGAGCUGAGGUGUGGAAUCUGUGGUCCUCCAGCUGUUGUUGGACUCCAACUCCCAUUAGCACCAGCCAGCAUUGCCAAAGAUGUUUUCCUAACCUCUGGCACAGGAAUCGUCUGGAAGAAUCCAAGACUGAGCAAAGCUCACUGCAUUUGUAGCGAUGGAUCCACUGGGCAUCUUAUAUUCCUGUUCAUAUUCAGCAUCAUAUCUUCCACAAAUUCCACAGGUUUUCCCAGUCAUCCAGAAAGGUACUUGAAUCUGCAUGGGAACAUAGUAAAAGUCAAUGAAGUGCUGGCCACACACAUUUUUAAAAAUCCAAAACACUAAUAGCCUGGCAAAGUAAAGUAUACCUUGAGCAUGUGUCCAUCAUAGAAGAGUUUUUCAAUGCCAGUUUCUGGAGCUUUUAAUAACAAACCAUUCUUCUCAUGUUUGAUAAGGAUAUAUUCACCUGUAACCAGAAAAUAAAAUUUUAUUCCCCUACAGAA